rnacentral:lncRNA from 10 species
CCUUACUAACAUACUAAGAGCAAUCACUGAACACUUUUCGUAUGUUCAAUGCGUCCUCGCGGGAUCUGAGAAGCAUUGUCCUAUUAAAUCUCAGUCGUCUGAUUUUCAGCAUCAAUUUAUCUUGGGAGCUGCUCCUGCAUUUUAUAAGGUGAAUUCUACAGCAACGAGAUUAAAGAUUCAGAAAGAGACAGAAGAAUCCACUCUAGCUGAGACUCCAGAUUGCCUGGGCUGUAAUUUACGGUGCUAUCACAAAGGGGUCCUUUUUCCGCAUGGUGCUCUGCGGUGAUCUUAUUGGCUGUGCAAACUUGAGGGAGUUGCCUAACCACUCUGGGCCCUGUUUUCCUGGCUUUGCCACUCUUCAGCUGUGUGACCCGGGGAAGCUCUCAACCUCUUUGUGCCUCCAUUUCCACAUCUGUAAAAUGGGGAUAUGAAAGUGGCUGCUUUGUGAAGAGUCCUGAGAAUAAAUGAGUUAAGGUCACAUGGUGCAGAAAGACAGAAGCAGAGCAGAAGAAUAUUAAAACCUAUUGAAUUUACAACAGCAAGAAUAAAAUACAUGAUUGUUGGAACAUUUAGAGCUCCUUUCUCUCUAUUGUCUGCCCAGGAAAACUGAUAUGGAUAAAUAUGGAAGAGAGCUGGCCAGUGGAUGAAAUGGUGAUGUAAAGGUUAAGAGAAAUAAAAGCAGGAGACGAGGAGAGAGUCACACCACGGCUCUGCAGCCCACACCACCUUGGAACCAAACAGGGAGGUGGCAGAACUGAUGGGCUGGCCGCACCACCUUAAAUCUCUUAGCUCCAAAACUGGAGGUGCUCAUCAGGACCCUGCAUCAUUUCUGUGGGUGAUGGAUGGUGUGAGGUAAGGCACAGAGAUCUAGACUUAUUUCUCCUUCCACAACAAUUGUUUCUUGGAAGAGG